AAAACUCAACGUGGCUAGCUUGUCCAGAAUCUCCCAAAAAGUUAGUAGAUGAUGAAGCCAGACUGGCACCAAAGCUUGCACUUUUAAUGAGGCAAUGAUGAAUCAAUCCCCUGAGGUAGAGACAAGGGUGACCAAAGACCCUCAAGUUUGCUGCCACUGCUCUGCACCCAGGAGAAUUUCCAGUACAACUUGGGGAACCAGGAACAGGCUGGACACAUGAUGAAAACCAGCCCUGCAGGCCACUUGUUCCAGAUCUCUCACAGAUUAUUGGGCACUGAAGUUAUAGUUGAUCUCUUUUUGAAAGUACUCUCCACUCUUCAACUCUUUGUAGGUUAAGAGGAAGCCAAGGAGGCACAAAAACAAAUAUUUCCUUUGGACUCUAGGGCUUUAUCAAUGUGAGGAACAGAGUUUAUUUCAAAAAACUUCCGCGCUCUUGUGAAAAGUAAAGAGAAGAAACAUUUUGACUGUUUUGUUAAUCUGUGACCUUGAGAACUGCCUUCAUUUUAUAACUGGAGAAGCAAAAUCCUAUUUUGUUGAGUGAAUGGGCAGAAAUUAUCUUCCCACUAUCCUAGAUGCAAUCAUAUAAUUUUCAGGUUGUUUGAAAAAGUCACCCUAAGAGUCAUAUAAAGAUGAAACGAGAGAUGAAAUACCCGGAAAUGUUUUGUUCCAGUUACUGUGGCUGCAUAACAAAUCACCCUAAAAUUUAAUGGAAUAAAACAUUUAUUAUACUCCGUAAUUCUGUGGGUAAUGAAUUUGGAAUGAGCGCAGCAUGAAUGGCUUGUCCUGCUCCACAAUGCCUGGUCAUCAGAUGGAAGACAGGAGGGCUAUGCACUAGAAUCAUCUGAAGGUUCACUCACUCACUUGACCAGCAGCUGCUUCUAGGUGCCAAAUGGAGCCACAGUUCCUCUCCACGUGGGCUUCUCAUGUGGUCUCUCUGCAUGGACUAGUUUGGACUAGUUUGUCACCAUGCUGCGAGUUAGUCCAAAGAUGUUCCAGCACUCUUUCCUUCAGAGCACGUAGUAGGAUUUUAUUUUCUACACCUUCC